CAGCAGCCGCGGGAAAACGUAGGCGGCAAGCGCUGUCCGGAAUUAUUGGGCGUAAAGGGCUCGCAGGCGGUUUCUUAAGUCUGAUGUGAAAGCCCCCGGCUCAACCGGGGAGGGUCAUUGGAAACUGGGAAACUUGAGUGCAGAAGAGGAGAGUGGAAUUCCACGUGUAGCGGUGAAAUGCGUAGAGAUGUGGAGGAACACCAGUGGCGAAGGCGACUCUCUGGUCUGUAACUGACGCUGAGGAGCGAAAGCGUGGGGAGCGAACAGGAUUAGAUACCCCGGUAGUCCCUGUCUCUUAUAC
rnacentral:rRNA from 1 species